AAAAACCCUGAAAAGAAAUGUUCCACAAAUACCUUAGUGAAUUGAAUACUUCUCAACAUUUAUUUGUUUGAUUUGCCGUAAUAAACAAACCUGUCAGUUAGCUGCAACAUUGGAAAAGUAUAAAAACGGUUUAUGGUGCUCGGGUGUGAUCAGCAUUGGUGUCGGGGUGUAGUGGGCAGAAAAGACUUGGCCAGGCAGAUGGCUUCUCGGUGGCAGAGCAUUGGGACCUCCGUGCGCCGGAGAUCUCUCCGGCACCAGGAGCAGCUGGAGGACAGCAAGGAGCUGCAGCCUGUGGCCUGUCAUCAGGAGACCUCCUCCAGGGCCCUGGGGUCCCUGUGCAGACAGUUCCAAAGGAGGCUGCCCCUGAAAGCCGUCAACCUCAACCUCCGUGCAGGCCCCUCCUGGAAACCCCAGAGCCAGGGCAGCAGGGCCUCCAAGCAGCAGCUCGCUCAGCUAAGAGUGCCUUGGGUGCCAUGUCCCAGAGAAUCCAGGAGUCCUGCCAAAGUGGCACCAAGUGGCUGGUGGAGACCCAGAUGAAGGCCAGGAGGAGGAAGAGAGGGGCACAGAAGGGCAGUGGAUCCCCAACUCACAGCCUGAGCCAGAAGAGCACUCAGCUGUCUAGAGCUGCCCCUGCCCACUCACCCACAGACCCCUGGGAGAAGGAGCAUCACUGCCUCUCUGCCCGGAUGGGCUCAUGUGCCCACCCAUUACGGCGGUCAAGGCGGGAGGCAGCCUUCCGGAGCCCCUACUCCUCUACAGAGCCCCUCUGCUCUCCCAUUGAGUCUGACAGUGACCUAGAGCCUGUGGGGGCGGGAAUUCAGCACCUUCAGAAGCUGUCCCAAGAGCUAGAAGAAGUCAUCAUGGCAGAAGAGAGUGGUGACAUCAUCUCUCUCAUUCAUGGCUGAGGAAGUGCCUGCAGGAAACAAGCCCUGUCUGACCACCAAGGCUUCACACCCAAGGACGUCUGUUCUUCCGCAUGCGCUUCCUGGAGGAAGUCCCCAGGAGUCAUCAGUACCCCUGGGCCCCUGCUAAUGAGGACCUGACUAACAAGGGGCCUGGAGCCCCCCUGCUCCGGCCACAUCUGGACCCAUCGGUGACUGCCAGCCAUAGCCUGAGAGUGUCUUGGGGAGAGUGUCUUGCAGAGGUGGGGAGAAUUGUACCUUCUGCUUUCCCAAGGGACUCUUGAGCUUAGAAACUCAUGAUACACCUGACUUUAAGCUUUGUAUUUGCCUCAUCUGUAAUGUGAAGUGCUAGCAUCAGAUGUUUGAGAGCUCUUAACCGUGUACCCAGGUGUCUGGUUUUGGGGGAGUCAUCUGCAGUCACUCACCAUCUGUGUUUCCGGUGCCAAGGCUCUUGAGGGCCCCACUCUCAUCCCUGCAUUCCCUACCAGGGACUCAGAGGAAGGCAUAGGAGAUAUUUCCAGGCUUAAGACCCUGGGCUCACAGGUACCUAUUUAUAUGCUCGAUGCAGAGUGCUGUGGGUAUGCCGGGAGGGGUAGCCUGUUCAAGAGCAAUUUCUGCCCUUUGUAAAUUAUUUUAAGAAAUCUGCUUUGUCAUUUUAUUAAAAAGAAACCAGCAUGUGACUUUCCUAGAUAACACUGCUUUCUCAUAAUAAAGACUGUUUG